rnacentral:rRNA from 1 species
GAUGAACGCUGGCGGCGUGCCUAAUACAUGCAAGUCGAGCGAACAGACGAGGAGCUUGCUCCUCUGACGUUAGCGGCGGACGGGUGAGUAAAACGUGGAUAACCUACCUAUAAAACUGGGAUAACUUCGGGAAACCGGAGCUAAUACCGGAUAAUAUAUUGAACCGCAUGGUUCAAUAGUGAAAGACGGUUUUGCUUUCCCUUAUAGAUGGAUCCGCGCCGCAUUAGCUAGUUGGUAAGGUAACGGCUUACCAAGGCAACGAUGCGUAGCCGACCUGAGAGGGUGAUCGGCCACACUGGAACUGAGACACGGUCCAGACUCCUACGGGAGGCAGCAGUAGGGAAUCUUCCGCAAUGGGCGAAAGCCUGACGGAGCAGCGCCGCGUGAGUGAUGAAGGUCUUCGGAUCGUAAAACUCUGUUAUUAGGGAAGAACAAAUGUGUAAGUAACUAUGCACGUCUUGACGGUACCUAAUCAGAAAGCCACGGCUAACUACGUG